rnacentral:lncRNA from 1 species
AUAACAUUACUAUGUCUAAACCACAAGAAGGGUUUAGCUCAUGGUGAGUUGAACCUCAAAGAUGAAGAUGGAGAUAAACAUAAAUGAAAACAUGAAAAGCUAAAUUGAUAGAUUAGAUAGAGCUAGUACAAGAUUACAAUCCUUGAAGAAGAGUGGUAAGCUAAAAUUAAAACCAAGUAAUCUAACUCUAAUACUCUAAGAACCAACACUUAUGCUCAUCUAUGGAGAAGAUGAGAUGGAGUGAGAAUUCUAAAGUCGCUAACCCUAGCUAGAACUUGGCCUCUACAGUUCACUAACAACUUUUCGAACCCUUGACACCAACACUUGGUUUUCCUUUUAUAGUACAAGACCAACCACUCCAAGUUGUACCCUUUAGUCAUUUUACACAUGAGCUGCCCUUAUCAUAUCCUACAUACUCAAGACAUAUAUUUUUUUUUAUUCCUAGGAUUUCAAUUAUUGGCGUCAACUCAUAAUUCUUCCACAUUAGGAAAUGGUCAGGCAUGGUCCCCUGGAUCCAUACUAGUUGUAUGACCCGACUAGCGAUUCAGGGAGCUGCAUCUUUCCAAAUCAUCAGCGAAACAAUGCGAAUCCUUACUGAAGCUUCCCAUAUCUCAAGAGUCAUUUCUCAUCCUGCAUCACCAAACAUCCACAACAAGCAUUAAUAGUUCAAAAUGACUUAUUAACACUAAAAAUUAAUUAAAACUACAAAAGCGUAAAUAGGAUUACAUGUCUUAGGCAAUGCAAUCAUUCAAUUUAUUGUUCAUUAUGGGAGUUAAGUGCAACGUGAUAACCAACUAUUUUACCGAUUAUUAGUAAUUUAGCCAAAACUUUAUACGAACUCAAUCCUACCAAUUUCUUUUUAUCAUGACUACAAAUAAAAUUUUAUGCAUCUAUUGUGAUUAAAACUUAUAGAACACGAUUGAGUCACAAAAGAAAUUCAAAAGUAAAAAGGAGAAAAAAAAUUAAUUAGAAAUUAAAUUUAAAACUCAAACACGAUCGACGUUCGAUAUUUAUAUGAUUAAAUUUUAUUGAACACAAUUAAUUAAAAUUUAUUGAACGCAAUUAAGUUACAAAAGAAAUUCAAAAGUAAAAAGGAGAAAUGUUACCUCUUGGUUGCAGUAGGGAUCUAUUGUCAUACAUAUAUA